AGAACGAACGCUUGCGACGUGCCUAAGAAAUGCAAGUCGAACGGAUCAGCAGCAAUGCUGGUUAGUGGCGAACGGUCGCGUAACACGUGGGCAACCUGCCCUGAAGCGGGGGACAACAACUCGAAAGAGUUGCUAAUACCGCAUGUGUAUCGCUGUGGCAUCACAGAGGAUACAAAGCCGCAAGGCACUUCAGGAUGGGCCCGCGGCCUAUCAGCUAGUUGGUGAGGUAAUGGCUCACCAAGGCUUCGACGGGUAGCUGGUCUGAGAGGACGAUCAGCCGGAUUGGGACUGAGAUACGGCCCAGACUCCUACGGGGGGCAGCAAUUAGGAAUCUUGCACAAUGGGCGAAAGCCUGAUGCAGCGACGUCGCGUGAGGAUGAAAUCUUUCGGGAUGUAACUUCUUUACCAGGGAAGAAAUAAUGACGGUACCUGGUGAAUACGCCCGGCUAACUACGUGCCAGCAGCCGCGGUAA
rnacentral:rRNA from 1 species